rnacentral:rRNA from 1 species
GACGAACGCUGGCGGCGUGCUUAACACAUGCAAGUCGAACGGAAAGGCCCUGCUUUUGUGGGGUGCUCGAGUGGCGAACGGGUGAGUAACACGUGAGUAAACUGCCCUUGACUUUGGGAUAACUUCAGGAAACUGGGGCUAAUACCGGAUAGGAGCUCCUGCUGCAUGGUGGGGGUUGGAAAGUUUCGGCGGUUGGGGCUGGUCUCGCGGCUUAUCAGCUUGUUGGUGGGGUAGUGGCUUACCAAGGCUUUGACGGGUAGCCGGCCUGAGAGGGUGACCGGCGACCAUGCGCCUGCGAUACGGCCCAGACUCGUACGGGAGGCAGCAGUGGGGAAUAUGGCACAGUGGGCGGAAGUCUGAUGCAGCGACGCUGCGUUCGGGAUGACGUCCUUCGGGUUGUAAACCGCUGUCGCCUGUGCCGAAGCGGUCGUGACGGUAACGGGUAAAGAAGCACCGGCUAACUACGUG